rnacentral:rRNA from 1 species
GUUUUUUAGAUUAUAAUUUGAAGUCUGCCCUGCUCACUGAUAAAUUGAAGUGCCGCAGUAUUAUGACUGUGCAAAGGUAGCAUAAUCAUUAGUCUUUUAAUUGGGGACUUGAAUGAAUGGGUUGACGAGGAAUUAACUGUCUUUAUUUAAUAUCUAAAAUUUAACUUUUUAGUUAAAAGGCUUAGAUUUUUCUUUAGGACGAUAAGACCCUAUAGAGCUUAAUAUAAUUUUUUUAAUUUUUUUUGUUAAUUUUCUUUUUAUUUAUAGAUUAUAUUUUAUUGGGGUGAUAUGAAGAAUUGAUGAACUUUUCAUUUUGUAAUCAUUAAUUUAUGUAUUUUUGAUCCAUAAUUUAUGAUCAUAAGAUAAGUUACCUUAGGGAUAACAGCGUAAUAAAUUUUGAGAGUUCUUAUUAACAAAUUUGAUUGCGACCUCGAUGUUGGAUUAGGAAAAGUUUUAGGUGUAGUAGCUUAAAAGUUAGGUCUGUUCGACCUUUAAAUUCUU